UGGAAGCAUUCCAGUGCUGUGACUGUUAUGUUUGAUAAAGUGCAGUUCAGCAACAAGUCAGCAAACAUGGAUCACCAGCAGCAGAGGUUCCUCACACAUGUCAAAGAGGUGGCCACUGUGUGCCGGCAGCUAGCAGAGAAGAGAAUGCUGGAUCCAUCAAUUAAGGGAACCUUUCACUGGUCUGGCAAUGAACAGACGACUAAGUAUGAAAUGGCGUGUGCAAUUGCAGAUGCCUUCAACCUCCCCAGCAGUCACUUAAGACCUAUUACUGACAGCCCUGUCCUAGGAGCACAGCGUCCAAGAAAUGCUCAGCUUGACUGCUCCAAAUUGGAGACCUUGGGCACUGGCCAACGAACACCACUUCGAAUUGGAAUUAAAGAAUCACUUUGGCCUUUCCUCAUUGACAAGAGAUGGAGACAAAUGGUCUUUCAUUAGUUUAUUUGUGUUGUUUUUUUUUUUUUUUUAAUGAAAAGUAUAGCAUGUGGCACUUUUUAAAGAACAAAGGAAACAGUUUUGUAUGAGUACUUUAAUUGUGACUCUUAGGAUCUUUCAGGUCAAUGAUGCUCUUGCACUAGUGAAAUUGUCUAAAGAAACUAAAGGGCAAUGUUGCCCUGUUUGCAGUAAUUUUUCUUUUUAUCAUUUUGUUUGUCCUGGCUAAACUUGGAGUUUGAGUAUAGUAAAUUAGGUCCUUAAAUAUUUGAGAGCCAGGAUGAAGCAGAUCUGCUGUAGACUUUUCAGAUGAAAUGCAUUGUUCAUUCUCAUAACCUCCAUAUUUUCAGGAUUUUUGAAGCUGUUGACCUUUUCAUGUUCAUUAUUUUAAAUUGUGUGAAAUGGUAUAGAAAUCAUUGGUGUUCAUUAUUUGCUUUGCUUGAGCUCAGAUCAAAAUGUUUGAAGAAAGGAACUUUAUUUUUGCAAGUUAUGUACAGUUUUUAUGCUUAAGAUAUUUCAACAUGUUAUGUAUAUUGGAACUUCUACAGCUUGAUGCUUCCUGCUUUUAUAGCAGUUUAUGGGGAGCACUUGAAAGAGCAUGUGUACGUGUAUUUUUUUCCUAGGUAAACAUUGAAUGCAAAUGUGUAUUUUUUUAAUAUAAAUAUAUAACUGUCCUUUUCAUCCCAUGUCGCUGCUAAGUGAUAUUUCGUAUGUGUGGUUAUACUCAUAAUAAUGGGCCUUGUAAGUCUUUUCACCAUUCAUGAAUAAUAAUUCUGA